UACGUAGGUGGCAAGCGUUGUCCGGAUUUAUUGGGCGUAAAGCGAGCGCAGGCGGUUUUUUAAGUCUGAUGUGAAAGCCUUCGGCUCAACCGAAGAAGUGCAUCGGAAACUGGGAAACUUGAGUGCAGAAGAGGACAGUGGAACUCCAUGUGUAGCGGUGGAAUGCGUAGAUAUAUGGAAGAACACCAGUGGCGAAGGCGGCUGUCUGGUCUGUAACUGACGCUGAGGCUCGAAAGCAUGGGUAGCAAACAGG
rnacentral:rRNA from 1 species